UACGAUGGAGAGCGGCUCGGCAACCACAUCAGCCGUCUCCCUCAGAAGCCUGGGAUGCAUAGCAUCCGGCCCCAGGGACUCACGUACGCUCAGUUUCAUGAGGAAUUCUCGGGCUUGUUCCACUGUCACCGUGGGACGGAAUCCGCUCCUCUCACCCACACCUCGAGGGUCGGGGUCCUGGCAGACAUGGGGAGCCUGACCACCAGUGCUCCCUGGUUGUGUGGCUGAGGGGCACUCAGCCCCCUGUGCUCCCCCUCCCCCACAGAGUUCGAUGCAAACGCUCACAGGCAGAGUGUUUGCUCACACAAACAAUUUAUUGGCAUCUGCGCACUGGUUGGAGUUCAGGCAGAUGGCCAGGCUGUCUCCGCAAAAGCUGCGUCUCUGCCACAGUGCAACGUUUGGGCCGCGCUGUGCCGCUGGUGAAGCUGCCUUCAGCCUACUCAAGGUUCAGGAAGGUGCCCGAGUCGUCCAGCUGCAGCCCGAGCAGCAUCUCCACGGAGAGGGUUCUCUUGGAGGGGGUGGUCAGCUUGAGCUUGCAGGAGCGCUGGGAGGGCAGCAGCGUCAGGCGGCAAUGGCGAGACAGAGGCAGACGCCUCCAAGCCGCCUUCACCUGGUUCUGGAACCAGAGGGUGGUUUUCUCCACGUGCAGGUAGGAGCCCUCGCAGAAGGUGUCGAGCAGGCUGGGCUCCUGUUUCUCUCUCAGCUGCUCCUGAGCGUGGUGGACAAAGCACAGCAUGUCCCCCAGCAGCCGCUCCCUCGCGCAGGUGCACUCCAGCUCCACGCGCACACAGGACGUCUUCGCCCGCGUCUCCUCCUCGUCGCCCAGCUCCACGUGGAAGGCGUGCCCGGGGGGAGGCCUCAGGGGCACGAGCAGGCGGUACAGGACGUUGUCUUCACGGGCACUGCACCCUUCGUCGACGCAGGCCACCCCGAGAGCCGGCUGCAGCUGUGGCUUGAAGCUGUGGCAAGAGCUUCCCCGGCAGGCCCGAAGAAGAUUGUCCACCAGCUCCUCCACCACCCGGCAAUUUUCGGCCAUGUGCGCUGCCGGCCAGCGGGUGCCAUGGGCCCAAACUGUGCCCGGGGGACACUCCUCGUCACACGACUCACUCUCCUCUUCCACCUCCUUGUCCUCCUCCUUGCCUGGGGAGCUUUCCUCCUCGUUGCCACUGCCCGGCUUGCAUCUCUUGUUGCGGAGCCAGAAGCCGAGCCCAACAAACAGGACAAGCAGCCCAGCAAAGGCCCAGAGCUGCCAGUGCUGCAAGGCAGCAAAGAGCGGGGCUCCUCUGCCCACUCCGCUCUGCUCCUGCCUCUCCUGGCUCCCCUGUGCCAUACUGCGCAGAAGCUGAGCCACGUAGGAACUCAGCUGCUGCACUCGCGAGUGCACGUACUUGUGCAUUCCCACAUAAAAGCCAAGAAUUCUCAGCCAAAACUGCACGAUCACGCGCAGCAAAGCCAGGGCGACAAAGAGCACCCGAGCCAUGGCCAUUAGGAUGUGCACACUGCACUCACCAAAGGCCUAGGCCGCAGCGCGGCGAUGCUGCCUCUUUCACAGCCUCCUGACACGCCCCGCACUGUGACUCGUCCUGCUGAUGUCACAGACACCGCAGCGUGUCACACCGCUGCACUCCUCCCCUCUCCUCAGGCGGUGUCUAAACCUAAGUGGAGUGAAGUAGCACAGGAGUGUCCCGAGUUCUGCAACGUUACUUUGUUACGCGAAUAAAUGCAAAAGGAAAAAGGAAUGCA
rnacentral:lncRNA from 1 species